rnacentral:tRNA from 1 species
GCGCCCGUAGCUCAAUCGGAUAGAGCAUCAGCCUUCUAAGCUGAGGGAAGCAGGUUCGAGUCCUGCCGGGCGCGCCA